UUCGUGUGUAUGAUUAGACCCAGACAUGUUGAGAACUGACUUGAAGUUUCUUCCUCUGUGUUGCCGUUUCAUUUAUUUAUUUAUUAGUGUUUGGCGGUUGUUGGCGCCACUGACUCUUCCUGCUGCGUCACUACUUCCGUGUGUCGCGUUCCAUCUAAAAGGGAUAGACCUUUGGGAUAAACAUGACCUGGAUGAACGAGAACCUUCACAGACAUCGACCACGUCUAUUCUUUCUCUACCUUCAGCUGUGCACUGCGCUUCAUCAGCUAAAUCCAGAGUGACAGCGUGUCUCAUGACUGUACCUAUAUCCAUAACUUGGAGCACUGCAUUUGACAAACACCAGGCGCUGAUCAUCACCUGGUUAAAGGUGUCGCCAAGGGGACACAUUGCCAGAGAGCUUGAGAGGAUCUGUGGGGAAGAAUGGGAUAAACUGCUCUAAUCCAGGUGUGCAAAGCAUGUAGAGGCUUGACAAAGAAGAGCCAACACUGUAAUUGUUGCCAAAGGUAUUCUACAAUGAAAUGUAUUAAGAGUCUCAAUACUUGAGUAAAUACACUUUGGAUUUUUUCAUUAUACAUUUUACAUCUCUUUGCAUUGUAAUUAUAGAUCAAUUUUUGUGGGUUGGCAGAAAAGUGAACUUUACCAACUGUAAACAAAAUAUUCUGUUUGUGCUCAAACUGAAGCUAAAGGGUUUGAAUCUUUCUAUUUUUUUCUACACGUUUUCAGGGACAGGAAAGCUGUCUGCUGUGGUUCUAAUCUAUUAUCAUAUAGUUUGGAUCCUCAACUCACAUAACCCAGCCACCUUAGGUACUUCAGUGUGUCUCUGCAGAAGAGCUUAUUUACUUAUUUCAUAAAAAGCACGCUGAUGCACAUAAUACGAUGCCAGAAUCUGCCUCUGGGUCUGUUCACCAGUUAAGGAUUGCUGUUGUACAGAAGAAGAUGCCGUAAUGUGUCUUUGUCCUAUUUGCCAGGGUUUAGUGAAGCUGAGUUUGUCUGUGCAGUGAACAUAACGGUUUCCUCCUUCACAUCUCUGAUGUUUGUUUAUGUUGGUUUGGUUGCUAAACCAUUUGUAGCAUAAGUAAUAACUAAUCAUUUCUCCUUUUGAUUCUUCAGUCUUGGCAGAUAGAUUUACCAGCUCUGGCUUGACCACAGUGCGUAAUGAUCUUAACCGAUCAGUGUUAGUUAAAUUUGACUUUGAAACACUCGGCCUGUUUAUCAGUUUCUGAGGCACUGUAUUGACUCUUAAAUUGAUCUUAAGGCUGCGGGUGUUGCCCAGGUCUUAGGGGUCCAUAAUUUACACAUUUGAAUAAAAGCUGUAUUUUUUUGGUCUUCUGAACUGUUUCUAGCUCGUCAUUAAUCGAACGCCUGCUACAAGCUAUAGUCUCAGUAUUCACAAGCAUCCCUUCUUGUGUUAAAAUAAGUCUCUUGACAAAUUACAGUAAGUCAUUAUUUAUACUUGGCUUAAUGAAGGCAAACAUAUUUGUUUUGUAGAUAUUAUGUACUUUUCUGCAUCUACAGUAAUGGGAUGUUUUGCCUUUUAUGAGCUGUGACGCCGCUAAAGUCUGCAUAUUUUUUUCUGCCAAUGAGUUGCUUUCUAUUGAUAAAGUAAUCACACAUCAUUCAUCCAUAUCAGUCUCUCCUCCCAGCUUCUUCAUGCUGUUUUCACUACAGAAUCGAUUUUAAAGUUUCAGUGAUUACUCGGCUCAGCUUUAUGUGGCUGCCUGCCUCAAGAUGCUGGAGCAUAGCUGUAAUUCUAUAACGUGUGGCCUGCAAGUUUUACUUGCUUGAAAUUGAAGAAUAAAAAAAAUCCCACCUUUUUAAACACUAUUAUAGACAAGCUACUGGAGAUUUUCCAGUGCCUGCUGUGUUUACAGCACAGCUGCAGUGGAGUAGUGAAAUGAAAAUUUCAUCGGUCACAGUAGAUGGACAGUUUUCAGUCAUUCAGGGCAAAAGGACAGGGAUAAAAAGGAUAAUUAGCCCUGAAAAAUCAUAACAUACACCAACAAACAUGUUUUAUUUAUGAAGAUCGUCCUGAUUUAUCCAUCCAAAGCUUGUGUGUCUAAACAAAUAACAUGUGCAACAAUGGUUCUGUGUCAGCUUUGGUAGUCUGUGAUUUCCAGGUUGGAUUUUGUUGAAGAAUUCUGACCAGUGAUCUGUAUGUUUCUAAACAAAGCCUGAAUUUUAAUAAAUGAUUGUCUAACAAUAACUCCAUGAAAAUCAGAUGUAUUCUUCUACCAAGUCACCUACUGAGUCACAGCAACAUCUAACCUGAGAUUAUGUCUCCACCUGAGCCUCCCACUGUCUCUGCUGUGUUUACAACACUAUGAAUUAGACAUUACACAAAAACUAAACUAUUCAUGUAACAUAAUCUCUGGCCGCAUCUUCAAACUCAGAAGAAUCACCUGAGCUGGCAAUGUUUGAUUUUCACACAUGAAGUAUAGAAUUUAUAGACAAGCUGAGAAAAUGUGUCCGCUCUAAAAACAGGUGUUGUUCUACCAGAUGUUCUCAGGCAGCUGACUGCAGUUUCACUGUGUGGCUGUAUGCAAAUCAAUGCUCUAUACAAUUAAACGUGAUUUAACCAACUUUAAAUCGC